CAUAUUCGCGCGAACGCUCAGUUGAGCCAGUAGUAGAGAUUCGAACGUCGUUCCGAUUGGAUGAAAAUUUCCGAGAGCUCGGCGCGUGAGUGAAUUUAAGCACAGAAGCGAGCCUGGUCGGGGACCCCCUAUGGUUUGCCAAUUUGAGGUAUUAUUUUUCGUUCAGAGAGGGUGAGCCAACGAAGAAGGUGUAAGUGUGGGAAAGUGAAAUAUUUUUAAAACUGCAAACCAGCGUCGUGAGGCGUGAACGGAACCAAGGAUUUGCCAGAAGCGGCGGACAAACGGCUUAAACGGCUUGACAGGGGUUCGCGCAUCUGUUCGCGUUUUUAGUGCCACAAGUGAGAAAAAUCAACAGUUGUUGCGAUUUCAGCCAGAAAUCCUGACUGAGUGAGUGAUUGUUGUCACCGUGAGGGAGACGAAAGCGCUGACGCUGCUGUUUUGCACCGCGAGAAAUUGAAGGACGCCGACGCCGACGACUUUUGGAGUGUGUACGCGUGAUAAAAGAUAAACGCAGCACGAUGGCAUUCAAGUGGAAUUCGAAUCCUUACUGUCUGAUGUCUCUGACACUUUUGGUGACGUUAGGAUUCAUGCUGCAGUUGACCCCCACGGAAGCUUGCAGUUGCUUUCCAGAGCACGCCCAAUCAGCCUAUUGCGAAGCAGAUUAUGUAAUUGUUGCACAAAUUGUACGAAAAUCCAAAUUGAAGAGUAACGGUGUAAACGUGUACAAGAUCAACAUCAAAAAAGAAUACAAGAUGAAUCCUCGAGCUCAGAAGUUGCUAAAACAUGGGAAACUUAUCACCCCUGCCAGUGAUUCAAUGUGUGGCUUGCAGCUUGAAGUCAACCAGUUGUAUGCGAUUGCUGCCCAAGAUAUCCACGUGGGCCUCUGCAGCUUUGUUCGCAAGUACUCCGAAAUGACGAUCGUGGAGAAAAGAGGUUUAGCCGGUAUUUACCGGAAGGGCUGUCCGUGCAAGAUAAAGCCAUGCUUCUCGGGCAACUGUAACGUCACGCUUGGAUCUUGCAACUGGACGCCUUGGGAAACCUGUGAAUCGGAGUACGGAUCUUGCAUACCAGCUCGGGGAACACUUCUGGACGGGUCUCCCGCCAAGUGCCACUGGCGCCGAUCUCCAAUGUAUCAAAAGUGUAAAAAUGGCACUCUCGAUUAACGUUCCCAAAAUGUCAAUCUUUUGCGUUGCUGUAAUUAUUGUUCUAUGUGCCCCCAUCCUCGACUACUAUAAUGAUUUAGUAGCUUACUAUUUUGUAUAGUUAUCAAUUUAUGUAAACUAAAAAACAAUUAUUUAUUUUAAAUAUUUGAAAAUACUAUUUAUUUCACAUCCGUGAGUGACUAACUCUUGUAAGUAGCAAUGGAAAACUGGAUGUUCUGCAACAAAAAAACACGUUGAUUUCAUAAUCUAUUCAAACUCGAUACAUCCACGCAGUCUUUCGUUGUUACUCAGAAGCGUAAAAUAUUUACAAAUCUUUCAAAAGCUAUCAAUAUUAGUACAAAUUAAUUGUAUCAUGUAAGUAGUUGCGUAUGGCAACAUUUGUAAUAGUUAUAAAAUAUUUAAGGAGAAAAAAAUAAAAGUAAGAAAUCGGACAGCGAGAAAA